CAUCAUUGCAACGACUUGAGAUAAGAACUCUUGAUGAAUGGCAAUUCGACUUUGAUACCAGCUCAGGUGUUAAGAUAACCAAAUGUCAUCUGUCUUCUGAGAUGACUGCACGAAUGUGGUCCUGUUUGAGAUCCUUCA